rnacentral:lncRNA from 1 species
GCAACUUCAUGAAGUUCUUGGAGAUGUGGACCAUGAGCUUGUCCAUGAAAGCAGGGGCGAUGUAGAAACCGCUCAUCGUGUUGUCGAAGUCGUAUCUGCACUCGAUCAAUUAUUUAAUUUAAUUAAGAGAGAGAGAGAGAGAGAGAGAGAGAGAGUGAAACGGCGUCGUAUAGCGUACUGUUUAAGGCCCUGGCUGAUAUAGUCGUAGGAGUUGAGAACGGCGUCGUGUGUACCCAUACCGGUGGGGGCUUGGAAGAGAGAGUCGACCAUGCCCUUACCUCUGGCGAUGUCCUGCUGGUCGUCGGAGAUGUCGGUGGUCAGACCCUUCCAUUUGUCCUUGUCUGUCUGUUUCUUGCUGUCUUCGAUCGCCGCCACUACCUUAAAGCUGCUUCCGCCGGAGGCGUAUUUGGUUUGGUGGGUGUUCACCUUCUUCAAGCUGCUGCCCAAGAACGAUGAGCUCGGUACUCCCACUCCCGAUCCACUCAAGUUCAACUGCAUACAUACAUACAUAUACAUAUCAUCAGCAUGUAAAUUAAUGAUGAAAAAUAUGUAAUGAUCUCGUUAUUAUUUAUUAUAUAUACCGGGACGCGGUUGACAGCUGCGGCGGUGGAGACGGCGGCG